UGGGGAAUAUUGGACAAUGGGCGAAAGCCUGAUCCAGCCAUGCCGCGUGUGUGAAGAAGGUCUUCGGAUUGUACAGCACUUUAAGUUGGGAGGAAGGGCAUUAACCUAAUACGUUAGUGUUUUGACGUUACCGACAGAAUAAGCACCGGCUAACUCUGUGCCAGCAGCCGCGGUAAUACAGAGGGUGCAAGCGUUAAUCGGAAUUACUGGGCGUAAAGCGCGCGUAGGUGGUUUGUUAAGUUGGAUGUGAAAUCCCCGGGCUCAACCUGGGAACUGCAUUCAAAACUGACUGACUAGAGUAUGGUAGAGGGUGGUGGAAUUUCCUGUGUAGCGGUGAAAUGCGUAGAUAUAGGAAGGAACACCAGUGGCGAAGGCGACCACCUGGACUAAUACUGACACUGAGGUGCGAAAGCGUGGGGAGCAAACA
rnacentral:rRNA from 1 species